UGUUCAUCAUAAUUCUUCCGUCUGCUCUAGAUUCUUAUCUUGUUUCCUACUCCCUCCAUCCCAUUUUAUGUGGCACCAUUUGACUUGGCACGACAUUUAAGAAAAAAUGGAAGAGUUUUGAAACUUGUGGUCUAAAACAAUCCUUUGAUAAUUGUGUCGUUGUAAAUUUCAUUAAGGGUAAAAGAGAAUUUUAAAGUUGAAUUGUUUUUUGUUACAGAAUAUUGUAAAUAUAUUCUAUUACCUUAUAUAGAUAGGGGAGAUAUGUAGGAUAUUUUCUUACCUUUAUUGAUGUUUCUUUCUAGUGUAUAUAUACAUGUAAUGUUGAUAUAAUAAAGGAGUUCAGUUCUAUAAACUACAUGGUAUCAGAGCUAAUAGGGCUCCAGAUCUUGUUCAAAAACUUCGAAACUUUUCCUAGCAUCUUGGGAAAAGGUUUCGGCUACUUGGGUUUUGGUAGAAUACCUCUAGGCUUGCUGUCCCAACAUCAUUUCAUUUGUUCCAACGUACUGUAGGAUUGAUUUUGGUGUUAAAAUCACUGCAGGAUAAUAACUCUUCACUUACAGGUUCGAUUUUCAUCCUUGCAUCUGUGACGUAAAAUCUUGAAAUAACAUUGCGCUACAAUGGCUGUUGGGUUCAUUUUUGGUGUCAAUUUUUUGAUGUUUUCAACCAAACGUUUUCAGCUAGUUUGGUGUCAGAUAUUUUUAUCCUUUACUCUUCUUGAUCAAUUUCUUGGAUAAACAUUAGUUAAAAUGUCUGAUGAUAAAUCUGCCAUGACUGGAAUUAUUCCAGUACUGUCUAAAAUUACUGAUAAUAAAUUAAAUGGGUCUAAUUAUUUAGAUUGGAGUAGAAAAAUUAGGGCCUACUUGCGUAAUGUUAAAAAGGAUGACCAUCAUAUCCAAGAUCCUCCAACGGAUGAUACUAAAAAGACUUGGCUUAGAGAUGAUGCUAGACUACUCUUGCAAAUUAUAAACUCUUUUGACAAUGAAGUUGUUGGUUUGGUUAAUCACUGUGAGUUUGUGAAAGAGUUAAUGGAUUAUUUGGAGUACUUAUAUUCUAGCAAAGGUAAUUUAUCUCGGAUUUAUGAAGUUUGUAAGGCUUUCUAUCAUUUUGAGAAGGAAGCUAAGUCACUCACUACAUACUUCAUGGAGUUCAGGAAAACAUACGAGGAACCGAAUGUACUUCUACCAUUCAGUACUGAUAUCAAGGUGCAGCUGGCUCAGAGGGAACAAAUGGUUAUAAUGAGUUUUUUCAGCUGGACUCCCAUCUGAGUUUGAGACUGCUGAAUCACAUAUUCCGUCUAGUUCUGAGAUCAGCUCUCUCAAAGAUGUUUUCAAUCGAGUGUUGCGCACAGAGAGUACUCCAUCCAACCAAUAGACCAAUGUGCUUGUUGCAAAAGGAGGAAGAAAUAAUGGGAGAUGAAACAACAAUAAUGAUGCACGGAGAUGGAACAACAACAAUGAUGCAGGGAAGUGGAAUCGUAACAAUGAUGCAGGGAAAUGGAACAACACCAAUAACUCUGGGAGAUGGAACAAUAACAAAGGAGGAGACAAUGAUGUUGGUAGAUGGAACAAUAAUAAAGGAGGAGACAAUGAUGUUGGGAGAUGGAUCAACGACAAUACUUGUCGCUAUUGUAAGGAACCCAGGCACAUAAGGCGAAACAGUAAGAAAUUACAGAAUCGCAACCAACAACUUCAGAAUCAGAUUGCCACGGUUGCACCACAUCUAGUUCACCCUCAAUUGUUACAAUCUCAACCGAUGAGUUUGCUAGAUUUAAAAAGAAUUAGGAAUCAAUGAAUGAAACCACUCCAGCCCGUGCCCUUACUGAGUCAGGUAACAAAUGUCUCAUUUCCUCCUCAAGCAACUGGAUCAUUGAUUCGGGUGCCACAUAUCACAUGGCAGGUAAUCCCAAAAUAAUCUCUGAAUUCCGGUCACAUAAAGUACCAUCCUCUGUUACCAUAGCUGAUGGAUCUAGUUAUACCAUUGAGGAUCUGGAAUCAUUAACCCCACUUCAUCUAUUACUUUGUCCUCUGUUCUUGGACUACCUAGUCUUGCCUUUAAUCUGAUUUUUGUGAGUAAACUUACCAAAGAACUACAAUGUUUUGUCUCCUUGUAUCCCGAUUAGUCUUUUUCAGGAUCUUAUGACGAAACAGAUUAUUGGUAAAGGCAUGUAUUAGACGGUCUCUACAUUCUUGAUGAAUGGGCGCCUCCAUCAGUUGCUUGCUCCAGUAUCAUCUCGUCAUUUGAAGCACAUUGUCGUUUGGGACAUCCUUCUCUACCAGUUUUGAAGAAAUUAUGUACUCAAUUUCAUAAUGUACCUUUAAUAGAUUGCCAGUCUUGUCAUUUUGCAGAACACCAUAGAAGCUCGUUAAGUCUUAGGAAUAAUAAGCGGGCUGAGUUUGCUUUCGAGUUAGUUCAUUGAGAUAUUUGGGGACCAUGUCCGGUUGUUUUAAGUUGGGUUCAAAUAUUUUGUUACUUUUGUGGAUGAUUUUUCCCGAAUGGCAUGGAUUUACUUUAUGAAAAAUCAUUCUGAAGUGUUCUCCCAUUUCUCUAAUUUUUGUGCUGAGAUUAAGACACAGUUUAAUGCUUCUAUCCAUAUAUUGAGGAGUGAUAAUGCUAAAGAAUUCAUGUCAGCAUCAUUUCAGAACUACAUGAAUCAAUAUGGUAUUCUUCAUCAAUCUUCGUGUGUAGAUACACCCUCACAAAAUGGAGUAGCUGAGAGGAAAAAUAGACACUUGCUGGAGACUGCUCAUGCUUUGCUAUUCCAAAUGAAGGUACCUAAGCAAUUUUGGGUGGAUGCGGUAUCCACAACUAGUUUUUUGAUUAAUCGCAUGCCAUCCACAAUACUUAAUGAGGAUAUUCCAUAUGGUGUUCUCUUUCCGAAUAAACCAUUAUUUUCAUUAGAGCCAAAGGUGUUUGGAAGUACUUGUUAUGUUCGUGAUGUGCGACCCCAUGUUACUAAACUAGAUCCAAAGGCUUUGAAGUGUGUCUUUUUGGGAUAUUCUCGCUUAUAGAAGGGUUACCGGUGCUACUUUCCAACCCUUAACAGAUACAUGAAGUCGAUAGAUGUGGUGUUCUCUGAGAAAAUUUCCUUUUUUCUUCUUCUGACAGUUCUCCCACUCAGGGACAGAAAGAAAAAGAAUGGCUCAUUUAUAAGACCACUCAACCGAGCUCAGAACACCAUAAGGAAGUUUGUGGAAGUGUUGAGCAGUCAACUGAGAAUGUGUCUUCUGAUGUUCAUUCUGCUCCAACAAGGCCACCGAUAAUUCAAGUUUAUUUUAGGCGACAAGCGACCAAUGAUACAUGUCUUGCACCAACUCUUUCGUCAUCAGAUCCUCCUCCGGUCAAUCCCUCUCCAACAGUUGACAUUCCCAUUGCUCUUCGCAAAGAUUCCAUUUUUGUACCCAAAACAGUUUAGGAAUCUUUGAGUCACCUUGGGUGGUAUGAUGCAAUGCUCGAGAAGAUACAUGCUUUAGAUGAAAAUCACACUUGGAAUUUGGUGGACUUACCAAAAGGAAAAAAGGCAGUGGGAUUGGCUUUCAAGAUUUGGCCGUUACAUCACUUGGAUAUCAAAAUAUAUUUCUUCACGGGGAUCUCCAAGAAGAAGUAUAUAUGGAGCAACCAUCUGGUUUUGUUGCUCAAGGGGAGAAUGAGAAAGUUUGUCACUUGAAGAAAUCUUUGUAUGGUUUGAAACGAAGUCUGCAAAUGUGAUCAUUCGGUCUUCUACAGACAAUGAACAACUGACAUUAUUCUUCUUGUUCUAUAUGUUGAUGACAUUGUCAUCACCAGGAGUGAUUAUGCAGGAAUAUCCUCUCUUUACUUGCAUUGGAUAUUUCACACGAAGACUUGUUCGUGCAUUCGAUAUUUCACACGAAAGACUUGGGAAAACUGAAAUACUUCUUAGGAAUAGAAGUAAGUAGGAGUAAGAAGUAAGGAGUAAGAAGGGAAUAUUUUUAUCUCAAAGAAAGUAUAUCCUUGACCUUCUUGAGGAAACUGGAAAGUUAGCAGCCAAGCCUUGUAAUACCCUAUGGUUCCAAAUAUGCAGCUCACAAAAGAUGAUGGUGACCUCUUCGCAUCCAAAAAGGUACACAAGAUUAGUUGAAAAAUAAACUAUCUUAUUGUAACUCGUCCGAAUAUUGCUUUUGCAGUUAGUGUUGUUAGUUAGUUCAUGACCACGCCUACACUAAAACAUUUGGCAGCUUUGGAGCAAAUAUUUUGCUACUUGAAAGGCACCCCUGGACUUGGCAUAAUAUAUAGCAACAAUGGAUAUACUCGCAUUGAGUGUUUUGCAGAUGCCGAAUGGGCUAGAUCCAAGAUUGAUAGAAGGUCUACUACUGGCUAUUGUGUCUUUGUGGGUGGAAACUUGGUGUCAUGGAGAAGUAAGAAACAAAUUGUUAUACCUCGAUUCAAGAAUUCGAGUAUAGAGCUAUGACAUAAUCCACAUGUGAGAUUAUGUGGAUACAUCACCUCUUAAGUGAAGUUGGGUUGAAGUAUCCCACACCUGCGAAACUUUGGUGUGAUAACCAAGCUGCUCUUCAUAUCGCCUCAAAUCCAGUGUAUCAUGAAAGAACUAAGCACAUUGAGGUGGAUGCCGUUUUAUUCGUGAAAAGAUUCAAGAAAACCUGAUUUCCACGGGCUAUGGGAAGAUGGAGAGCACUAGCUGAUUUGUUCACAAAGACAUUGAAUGGAGCUCAAGUUAGCAAUUUGUGUAACAAGCUGGGCAUGAUUAAUAUAUAUGCUCCAGCUUGAGAGGGAGUGUUACAGAAUAUUGUAAAUAUAUUCUAUUACCUUAUAUAGAUAGGAGAGAUAUGUAGGAUUGACCUUUAUUGAUGCUUCUUUCUAGUGUAUAUUUACAUGUAAUGUUGAUAUAAUAAAAAAGGAAUUCAGUUCUAUAAACUA